ACGGUUUGUUCGGGAGUUCGUGGUUGUUAAAUGAUAUUGUUAAAAGAAUGGCUUUGAUAUUGUUAAUAAUGUUAACAAAUAGUUGUUAAAAUAGUGUUGUUGUAAUCAUUAAAGUGUAAAUAAAGUUAAAAUUUGUAAAAUCUACUAAAAUUUGCUUAAAAAAUUAAAAAAAGAAGCCUUUAAAAUUAGCUUUACUCGUUGUUUUUUUUUACAUUCGUUUGUUCGAUUUAUCGUGUCGGCUUUUUUGUUGCUAUUUUUUCACGUGUUUGUUGAAUGAAUGACUUUUUAGUGCGUGUUUGUUGUUACUAAUUUCACACUUUCGGUGGUAAUUGCUGGACUUUUUGGUGGCAAUCAGAAAAUGUUUUCAGUUUUUGCUGUUUUUUCCCCAAAUUCCUCUUUAACCAGGCUUUCAUAACAUAACCAAAGAAAAAAAGAAAAGUUUACUAAA